rnacentral:rRNA from 1 species
GCACAAGCGGUGGAUGAUGUGGAUUAAUUCGAUGCAACGCGAAAAACCUUACCUACCCUUGACAUGUCCGGAAUCCCGAAGAGAUUUUGGGAGUGCUCGCAAGAGAACCGGAACACAGGUGCUGCAUGGCUGUCGUCAGCUCGUGUCGUGAGAUGUUGGGUUAAGUCCCGCAACGAGCGCAACCCUUGUCAUUAGUUGCCAUCAUUUGGUUGGGCACUCUAAUGAGACUGCCGGUGACAAACCGGAGGAAGGUGGGGAUGACGUCAAGUCCUCAUGGCCCUUAUGGGUAGGGCUUCAUACGUCAUACAAUGGUCGGUACAGAGGGUUGCCAACCCGCGAGGGGGAGCUAAUCCCACAAAGCCGAUCGUAGUCCGGAUCGCAGUCUGCAACUCGACUGCGUGAAGUCGGAAUCGCUAGUAAUCGUGGAUCAGCAUGUCACGGUGAAUACGUUCCCGGGUCUU